GACAGAGGUGCCGAGCGUUAGGCGGAAUCACUGGGCUUAAAGCGUGUGUAGGCGGACGGGUAAGUACCUUGUGAAAUCCCCCGGCUCAACCGGGGAACGGGCACCGAUACGGGCGGCCUCGAGGGGGGUAGGGGGGACUGGAACUUCCGGUGGAGCGGUGAAAUGCGUUGAGAUCGGAAGGAACGCCCGUGGCGAAAGCGAGUCCCUGGACCCUUUCUGACGCUGAGACGCGAAAGCCAGGGGAGCGAACGGG
rnacentral:rRNA from 1 species